UUUACUCCUCACUCAUGGGCAAAAGCACAAAGCUGCUCCUAUUCAGCUAGGAUAAGACUCCGUGAAUGGCAGUACCAAGUACCACCAACUCAUGCUAAGCCCCAAACAACAAGGUAGACAGGAGCCUCCCAAAUGCGAAGCUAACUCUGGUAAUGUGUGCAUCAUCCUCAUCAUCAGUGUAUACAUCCCUGCAAAGUAUAUUGCCAAGUUGAAUAAAAGAAGCACAAAAAUCCAAUGAA